rnacentral:lncRNA from 1 species
GAGCCGCGCGGGAUCCGUCACAGGAGGUGGAGCAGAGUCGUGGCCGUCAUAGCGGUCUGUCAGGGAAUGAUGGAACUGCGCGGAAUCCAUCGCAGGAAGUGGAGCAGGAUCGUGGUGGUUGCUGUGUUGCGCCAGAAAGUGCGGAUUCGUUGGCUGAAGUUCGACAGCGGUCGGAGCUGGUGACGGAGCCUGGCUCCCGUAGGAGCCCGGGCGGAGUCCUUCUUGAAGUCAUGGGCGGAGCCCGACUCCCGUGGGAGUCCGGGC